GACGAACGCUGGCGGCGUGCUUAACACAUGCAAGUCGAACGGAAAGGCCCUGCUUUUGUGGGGUGCUCGAGUGGCGAACGGGUGCGUAACACGUGAGUAACCUGCCCUUGACUUUGGGAUAACUUCAGGAAACUGGGGCUAAUACCGGAUAGGAGCUCCUGCUGCAUGGUGGGGGUUGGAAAGUUUCGGCGGUUGGGGAUGGACUCGCGGCUUAUCAGCUUGUUGGUGGGGUAGUGGCUUACCAAGGCUUUGACGGGUAGCCGGCCUGAGAGGGUGACCGGCCACUUUGGAAUUAUGAUACGACCCAGACUCCUACGGGAGGCAUCAGUGGGGAAUAUUGCACAAAGGGCGGAAGCCUGAUGCAGCAACGCCGCGUGCGGGAUGACGGCCUUCGGGUUGUAAACCGCUUUCGCCUGUGACGAAGCGUGAGUGACGGUAAUGGGUAAAGAAGCACCGGCUAACUACGUG
rnacentral:rRNA from 1 species